GACGAACGCUGGCGGCGUGCUUAACACAUGCAAGUCGAACGGAAAGGCCCUGCUUUUGUGGGGUGCUCGAGUGGCGAACGGGUGAGUAACACGGGAGUAACCUGCCCUUGACUUUGGGAUAACUUCAGGAAACUGGGGCUAAUACCGGAUAGGAGCUCCUGCUGCACGGUGGGGGUUGGAAAGCUUCGGCGGUUGGGGCUGGACUCGCGCCUUAUCAGCUUGUUGGUGGGCUAGUGGCUUACCAAGGCUUUGACGGGUAGCCGGCCUGAGAGAGUGACCAGCCACAUUAGUACUGAGAUACGCCCCAGACGCCUACGGGAGGCAGCAGUGGGAAAUAUUGCAAAAUGGGCGGACGCCUUCUAGAGCAACGCCGCGUGCGGGAUAACGGCCUUCGGGUUGUAAACCGCGUGUGACGGUGACGAUGCGUGAGUGAAGGUAGUGGAUAAAGAAGCACCGGCUAACUACGCG
rnacentral:rRNA from 1 species